UACGUAGGGGGCUAGCGUUGUCCGGAAUCAUUGGGCGUAAAGAGCGUGUAGGCGGCCAGAUAGGUCCGUUGUGAAACCUGGAGGCUUAACCUCCAGCGGUCGAUGGAAACCAUUUGGCUAGAGUCCGGAAGAGGAGAGUGGAAUUCCUGGUGUAGCGGUGAAAUGCGUAGAUAUCUGGAGGAACACCGGUGGCGAAGGCGGCAUCCUGGACCGGCAUUGACGCUGAGGCGCGAAAGCCAGGGGAGCAAACGGG
rnacentral:rRNA from 1 species